rnacentral:rRNA from 1 species
GGUCAAGUUAGGAAGGGCAUAUGGUGGAUGCCAAUGGCAUCAGGAGGCGAAGAAGGACGUGGCAGGCUGCGAAAAGCCACGGGGAGCUGCGAGUGAGCGUAGAUCCGUGGAUGUCCGAAUGGGGCAACCCAUCCUGAGGAAAGUCAGGAUAUCACUAUCUGAAUACAUAGGGUAGUGAGGCGAACCCGGGGAAGUGAAACAUCUCAGUACCCGGAGGAAGAGAAAUCAAACGAGAUUCCCUGAGUAGCGGCGAGCGAACGGGGAAGAGCCCAAACCCCUCCAUAAAUACAAGUGUUGAAUGCUAAAUGCUGGAUGUUGGGUUGAAUGAAUUUUUUCAUUUAACAUACAACACUCAACAUUCAACAUUUCUGUUUAUGGAGGGGGGUUGUAGGACCGCGUAAGUAGGAACACCACAGUAUAGUUGAACGCUCUGGAAAGGGCGACCGGAGGGGGUGACAGUCCCGUAGGCGCAAUGCUGUGGAAACCGAAGCGGUAUCCUGAGUACCACAGGGCACGAGGAAUCCUGUGGGAAGCUGGGGGGACCAUCCUCCAAGGCUAAACACUCUACUGAUGACCGAUAGUGGACAAGUACCGUGAGGGAAAGGUGAAAAGAACCCCGGUGAGGGGAGUGAAAUAGAACCUGAAACCGUAUGCUUACAAGCAAUCGGAGUCUCGUAGUAAUACGGGAUGACGGUGUGCCUUUUGAUUAAUGAGCCGGCGAGUUACUGGCACAAGCGAGGUUAAGUCCUUCAGGGAUGGAGCCGUAGGGAAACCGAGUCUUAACAGGGCGAGUGAGUUUGUGUCAGUAGACCCGAAGCCAGGUGAGCUACCCAUGGUCAGGGUGAAGCGAAGGUAAGACUUCGUGGAGGCCCGAACUGAUGUUUGUUGCAAAAAGCUCGGAUGAACUGUGGGUAGGGGUGAAAGGCCAAUCAAACCUGGUGAUAGCUGGUUCUCCCCGAAAUGUAUUUAGGUACAGCCUCAGUGCAACCUUAUGGGGGUAGGGCACUGGAUGGGCUAGGGCCUCGAAUGGGGUACCAAACCCAACCAAACCGCGAAUACCAUGGAGGUGGUCGCUGGGAGUGAGACUGCGGGUGCUAAGAUUCGUAGUCGAGAGGGAAACAGCCCAGACCGUCAGCUAAGGUCCCUAAGGGUAUGCUAAGUGGUAAAGGAUGUGGUGUUGCGGAGACAGCCAGGAUGUUGGCUUAGAAGCAGCCAUCAUUAAAAGAAAGCGUAACAGCUCACUGGUCAAGCGACAUCGCGCCGAAAAUUUAACGGGGCUAAGCAUACUACCGAAGCUACGGACUUCCGGGUUGUGAACAAAGUUCACAAUCGGAGUGUUGAAUGUUGAGUUUUGGGUGUUGGAUGAAGAAGUUUUUCAUUCAGCAUUCAACAUCUAACAUUUAAAAUUCCGGAUUGUGGGUUUUAGUCACAAUCCGGGAGUGGUAGGGGAGCAUUCUGUAGGCCGUUGAAGGUUCCGGGUGACCGGGGCUGGAGGUAGCAGAAGAGAUUAUGCCGGCAUAAGUAGCGCAAAUUCUGAUGAAAAGUCAGGACGCCGUAAACCUAAGGUUUCCUGGGGAAGGGACAUCCGCCCAGGGUUAGUCGGGCCUAAGGCGAGGCCGAAAGGCGUAGCUGAUGGACAACUGGUUAAUAUUCCAGUACCGUCUUGUGUGCGUUUGACUGAAGGGGUGACGCAGGAGGAUAGUUUGAGCCUGGUGAUGGUUCAGGUCCAAGCACUGAGGCUGGGAAGUAGGUAAACCCGCUUCCCGUUAAGGCUGAGGUGUGAUGGGGAAGGCCGUAAGGCUGAACUUGAGUGAUUCCACACUGACGAGAAAACCCUCGUAGGGAGUACAUGGGAUGACCGUACCGCAAACCGACACUGGUAGGUGGGUAGAAGAUACCAAGGCGUACGAGAUAACCCUCGCUAAGGAACUCGGCAAAGUGGCCCCGUAACUUCGGGAGAAGGGGUCCCACCGCAAGGUGGGUGCAAUAAAGAGGCUCAGGCGACUGUUUAGCAAAAACACAGGUGUCUGCGAACUCGUAAGAGGAUGUAUAGGCACUGACGCCUGCCCGGUGCCGGAAGGUUAAUGGGAGAAGUCAUCUUCGCAAGAGGAGAAGCUUUGAACUGAAGCCCUGGUAAACGGCGGCCGUAACUAUAACGGUCCUAAGGUAGCGAAA